rnacentral:rRNA from 1 species
GCCUGUUGCCACCACGAGAGGUGGGGACUCAGGCGGGACCGCCGGUGACAAACCGGAGGAAGGUGGGGACGGACGUCAAGUCAUCAUGGCCCUUAUGUCCUGGGCUACACACGUGCUACAAUGGCCGGUACAGAGCGCAGCGAGGCCGCGAGGCGGAGCGAAUCGCUUAAAGCCGGUCCCAGUACGGAUUGGAGUCUGCAACCCGACUCCAUGAAGUUGGAAUCGCUAGUAAUCGCGCAUCAGCAUGGCGCGGUGAAUACGUUCCCGGGCCUU